rnacentral:rRNA from 1 species
GAGUGAAACUCAAAGGAAUUGACGGGGACCCGCACAAGUAGCGGAGCAUGUGGUUUAAUUCGAAGCAACGCGAAGAACCUUACCUAAGCUUGACAUCCCAAUGACAUCUCCUUAAUCGGAGAGUUCCCUUCGGGGACAUUGGUGACAGGUGGGGCAUGGUUGUCGUCAGCUCGUGUCGUGAGAUGUUGGGUUAAGUCCCGCAACGAGCGCAACCCUUGUCUUUAGUUGCCAUCAUUAAGUUGGGCACUCUAGAGAGACUGCCAGGGAUAACCUGGAGGAAGGUGGGGAUGACGUCAAAUCAUCAUGCCCCUUAUGCUUAGGGCUACACACGUGCUACAAUGGGUAGUACAGAGGGU